CUAAGUUCAGCGGGUAGUCCUACCUGAUUUGAGGCCAAAGCUUUAAAAAAUUGUCCGUCGGGACGGCUAUAAGCAGCGCCGCUGAAGAGGCUCGAGGCGUCGGCGCAGAUAAUUAUCACACCUUUGCCCAGCACUCUAAAAGCGCAAGCUAAUGCAUUUCAGGACGAGCCGACUACGGCACGGUCCAAAUCCACCUCGUG
rnacentral:misc_RNA from 1 species